AUGAACGCUGGCGGCGUGCCUCAUACAUGCCAGUCGAGCGAACAGACGAGGAGCUUGCUCCUCUGACGUUAGCGGCGGACGGGUGAGUAACACGUGGAUAACCUACCUAUAAGACUGGGAUAACUUCGGGAAACCGGAGCUAAUACCGGAUAAUAUAUUGAACCGCAUGGUUCAAUAGUGAAAGACGGUUUUGCUGUCACUUAUAGAUGGAUCCGCGCCGCAUUAGCUAGUUGGUAAGGUAACGGCUUACCAAGGCGACGAUGCGUAGCCGACCUGAGAGGGUGAUCGGCCACACUGGAACUGAGACACGGUCCAGACUCCUACGGGAGGCAGCAGUAGGGAAUCUUCCGCAAUGGGCGAAAGCCUGACGGAGCAACGCCGCGUGAGUGAUGAAGGUCUUCGGACCGUAAAACUCUGUUAUUAGGGAAGAACAAAUGUGUAAGUAACUAUGCACGUCUUGACGGUACCUAAUCAGAAAGCCACGGCUAACUACGUG
rnacentral:rRNA from 1 species